GUACAAGGGGCUAAAUGCGCUUCUGAAAGGAAUGUGCAAGUCUUCAGUGGCACCGAAGGCAACACUGUCAAAUUGCGGGAAAGCCCUA
rnacentral:rRNA from 1 species